AUUGAACGCUGGCGGCAUGCCUUACACAUGCAAGUCGAACGGCAGCACGGGAGCAAUCCUGGUGGCGAGUGGCGAACGGGUGAGUAAAGUAUCGGAACGUGCCCAGUCGUGGGGGAUAACGUAGCGAAAGCUACGCUAAUACCGCAUACGAUCUAUGGAUGAAAGCGGGGGAUCGCAAGACCUCGCGCGAUUGGAGCGGCCGAUAUCAGAUUAGGUAGUUGGUGGGGUAAAGGCCCACCAAGCCGACGAUCUGUAGCUGGUCUGAGAGGACGACCAGCCACACUGGGACUGAGACACGGCCCAGACUCCUACGGGAGGCAGCAGUGGGGAAUUUUGGACAAUGGGCGCAAGCCUGAUCCAGCAAUGCCGCGUGCAGGAUGAAGGCCUUCGGGUUGUAAACUGCUUUUGUACGGAGCGAAAAGGCUUCCACUAAUACUGGGGGCUCAUGACGGUACCGUAAGAAUAAGCACCGGCUAACUACGUGCCAGCCGCCGCAGUAAAAC
rnacentral:rRNA from 1 species